UUAAAAUGUCCAAAGGUGUGUCUCAAAGGGGGAGCUCCGGAAUCGAGAAAGGAAUCUCAGUCACAGCCGCAUCCCCGAUAGGUGUAGCAUCCCAAGGCCCCCUGCGGACACUGUCCUCUGCUCCCUUCUCUGCAGCCCGCAUGCGCACCGGAAUGCGUUCACUUGAAGUCCUUGGUUAUGAAAGGCUGAGCUGCCCUGCUCAGGAUUCUGGCCAGAGAAGGGUGCACAAAAGUUAGUCAACAAGGGUCAAGCAGGGUGCAGAUGGCAGGAGGCAGGUGGCACCUCCCUACCCCCGACACACACUUGGGCCAGUAGCCCGGGAGGGUCACCGUGGGGUGGGGUUGAGCUGAGUGGAGAGACCGAGCAGGACCUACCAGGCCGUGGCGUCUCCUCUGCAGGGCUCCUCUGGUGUCCUGCUGCCCCCCGCCUGCUCUCCCCUUCAGGAAGCCAGCCCCAUUCCCUCGGUGGACGCCCUCCCACCCCCACUCCAGGCUGCUGAGGGAAGGGGACACUCGGCCACUCCAUGGCGCCCGGGCCAUGGCCAACACAGAGGAUGCCCCUUCUUCAGGCAGAUGGAGCCAGCUGCCACCAGAGCACCAGGGUUGCCAUAAGUAGCCAGGGCCGCGCUGCCCGUCAGCUGGGCCCUUGUGCAGUCACCAUCAUGUGCGGUCCUUCCUGUUCCUACCAGUAAACCCAGGGCUGGCUUCAGCCUGCCCCGGCCACAGCGAGGAGUUGAAGAACAAGCCUGUGGACAGGCUGAUCUCCUGGGAGCUCACCACAGAACGGCGGGACCACUGAAGACAGCCUCCCGCUUUGUAGUGCCCUGAUUAAAAGGAGCAGAGAGCCUGGGGGCUGCACUGGGUCCCGGUCAUCCCCGGGACAGUCAGCCCAGGAGGGAGGAGGGAGGCAUUAUUAAUCCGAUCUCAGUGUCGGAGCCAUAGCUGAGCCCACCGCCCUUUCAUUCAUGUGGCCAAGAAACUUCUUUUGGGUGAGACAGUUUAACAAUUCCCUGCAGUUUGCAGUCCAAGAGUCCUGACCAGUACAACUGUCGCGGUGGGAGAGGGCAAGCCUCACGGCAAAUGCUGAUUACGUCGCUGAACUCACCUGGGGUGUUGAUACGAGGGCCCUAGAGAAUGAUUUCAGUUAAAAUAAAUCAACCUCAUAAGCAAGA